rnacentral:misc_RNA from 1 species
GAAAUGCGAAAAGUAAUGUGAAUUGCAGAAUUCAGUGAAUCAUCGAAUCUUUGAACGCACAUUGCGCCCGCCAGCAUUCUGGCGGGCAUGCCUGUCCGAGCGUCAUUUCAACCAUCAAGCCCCCGGGCUUGUGUUGGGGACCUGCGGCUGCCCGCAGGCCCUGAAAACCAGUGGCGGGCUCGCUGUCACACCGAGCGUAGUAGCAAUCACCUCGCUCAGGGCGUGCUGCGGGUUCCGGCCGUUAAACAGCCUUACAAAACCCAAGGUUGACCUCGGAUCAGGUAGGAAGACCCGCUGAACUUAAGC